CAGCAGAGAGAAGCAGGGAUAAGAUGCAGCUUCCUAUCCCUGUCUCUCUCCAUACACUGGCCGGCGGCGGUAUUGCAGUUCAUUUUAAAUCACACGAAAAAUAGCAGAACAAGCUGAAAAAUCCAGGGGGGGGCAGGGGGCCCCCCCUUGCCCCCCCCUGCGGACUCCCAUGCCUGAAGGCCCACUCUACAUAGGAGUCGCCAACCUGCUUGUUAGUCUCCCUAAAUCGUUGUCUGUAUGCUUCUGGGGUCACCGCGUACCUGGCUAAGA